UUUUGUGCAGGAUACUGUACACCAGGAGUAGUAACGGGGUACCUUUUGCAUUGGAGAGCUUUGAGCUGCGCAAGUUAAUCUCCAUAGAUGGCGUUGCGGUUGUUCGAUCUGGAUUUUAAAGGAAGAGAAUAGAGGGAAACAAAGGUAGUCCGUUUUUAACUUCGUCUGCUACGGUUUUGUUUGGUGACGAAGUUAAAAAAUCGGUCUGCUUCCUGCUAUUCGCUUCCUGUGAAUUCCAGACCGCCAUCUACGGAGCUUAACAUGCGGAGCUCAAGUUGUUUUGCAGGCGUUACUACUCCUGGUGUACUUCAUGGUUAUAAUUUAAUUCCCUCUUGGUAACCAAGAGGUCUAAAGGACCUUUAUUCCACUCCCUUUUUCUGACUUGAUAGCAUUUUCUACUAAUAUCUUGUAAACGGCAUUAUAGAUCUUGAUGCUGGAUAGCUAGUAAUUAGCAUCUCGGGGCACUACUAAUUAUGAGUACAAAGUUUUAAUCUGUUAUUUGUGGGAACAACGUGCCAUUUCGUGGGGGAAAAGGGCGGAGCUACACAUUUCACAGAUUGGUCCGUUUCCUCCGUGGAUCAGCUGAUAGUUAUUGGGGGGUCAGCGCCACCAGUGUUUAAUAUUUAAAAAUCCCUAUUGCCUUCUUGUUACAAGUGACCCUUUCCCAAUCAAGACACAUGUGUUGCGCUGUUUUCGCUGAAAUCUAAAUGGUUUCCGCUAUUUUUUGUUUGUUCCCCGCACUACAUCACCGAGAAAAAACGUUUUUCCAAGAGGAACUAGCCGUGCUCGGCAACUUGAUGUUAAGUUCAAGUGCUCUAACAAUCACUUAACUAAAUGUAAAAAAUGAAAUCAAUUGCAUUCUCGAAUCAAAUUGACGAUCAAUUUAGGUAGUUAAUACUUAACAGGUGAAUAACAGACCCCUCAAGGCCUCAACCUCAAGACGCAUGCAUUCGCAUUACUGCUUCUUAUUUGUUGACGUAGAACAUAAAAAAGCAGUUCGGAUAGUAUCAGCUAACAACAGAUGAAAUUACUUCUUACCUGCAAAGUUGCAUGCAUGCUCCAAGCCAUGAGGAGUUAAUUUUCAAAGCAAACAAGUACACACUGCCCUCACUCGUCGCUGCUCCGUUGUUAGAAGUACAGUUACUGUAUGCCAGGUCUUGUUCCAUUUUUGCUCCUGCUCGAAUACCUAACGCAUUUCACAAGCUUGUUGCAUUGCGUCAUACGCUAAUCGAGGAGAUACACUUGUUAAGAGAAAUGCAAAUUUUACACGGCAAACAAUAACCAAAACUCACCUUUUGAUAUUUACAAAUCGGCUGAUAAAAACCAGUUCAGCUGCAACUGUCUAGUAAGUAGAUAUACUAGCCACACACUGUGAAUUUUCAGCUAAGCUUCACUGUGAGACUGCAUAGCUGCAAAAUAAGAUUGGGGUCAACCGGUGGAAAAUCCGUCAGUAUAUUAAGGAUGCGAGAACAAUUAAAGUUCCUUUUUUUUUUUUUUUUCGUUGCUUAG